GAGUUUGAUCCUGGCUCAGAACGAACGCUGGCGGCGUGCCUAACACAUGCAAGUCAAACGGGUGGCAACACCAGUGGCGCACGGGUGAGUAAUGCAUGGGUCAUCUGCCCUUGAGUGGGGGAUAACUACGCGAAAGUGUAGCUAAUACCGCAUACGCAGGAAACUGCAAAGAUGGGUUAAGAGCUUUCUCGUUGAGAGUCCGGGCAACCGGGUCUGAACGAGAGAGUUCUCCUGUCGCUGAAGGAUGAGCUCAUGUCCCAUUAGUUUGUUGGCGGGGUUAACGGCCCACCAAGACGAAGAUGGGUAGCUGGUCUGAGAGGACGAUCAGCCACACUGGAACUGAGACACGGUCCAGACUCCUACGGGAGGCAGCAGUGGGAAUAUUGCGCAAUGGGCGAAAGCCUGACGCAGCAACGCCGCGUGAGUGAUGAAGGCC
rnacentral:rRNA from 1 species